ACUUAACUGCUGCGCCACCGGGCCGGCCCCCUUAACUUUCUGACUGUCCAGAACUCAGCCUGGAUGGAGCUACUGGACCCUGUGCUGCUUCCUGGGUCCUUCCCGCUGCUGCAUGAACCAUCUCUCUUCCUGUAUCACAGAGCCUGAGGGUCAUACCCUCCCCACCCUGAGUUACCAACGCCCUCCCGGCAAUUUGCUGUGCCUGAGGAUGACUUGAGUGCAGAACACCCUUCGAGCCAAGAUGCCAGGAGUUAACUGGGGGGUGGGGAAACCACAGGGACAGGAGGAAGAGAUUUUUAACAGCUUCUGGUGAUAGAAAUCAUCCCCAGCCAGCCCCCUGGUACCAGUUUACUGUUCUCUAUUUUAACUAAAUAUCUGUCACUCACGCAUUCAUGCUGCUGCUCCCUGGUCAGCUAGGCAGAAGUUACAUCACAAGGGGUACUGGGAGGAGCACUGGACUGGGAGUUGCAAGCUCUGAUCUCUACUCCUGGGACUGCCAUUAAUUGGAGGUGUGACCUUGGGCAAGUCCCUUCCUCUCUCUGAGCCUCAGUUUUCCCAUCCAUAAAGUGAGGGGACUGCACCAAACAGCCAGAUGGUGCCUUCUGCUCUGGCCGACUAGUCCAUUAACUCAUGGCUCUUGUUAUGAUGUCCCCUGAUAGCCUCAUCUCAGUCCCCGAGUCUGUUUCAACCGCAGUUCACUGUACUCCCCGUGGAACUCUCAUAACCAUAUGUUCUAAGAGGAAUUAUCUUCCAAUUUCACCUUCCAUUUGCAUCUUAAUUUAACUUUCAUUCCUGGGUGCCUGCUGGAAUGUCCAAGCCAAGCUUGAUGAUUUCUAAUUAGGCUGCUGUUAAGCUAGUCCAGUGGUCCCCAGCAGGGCACUUGCUGGGAAGACAGCAUGGGACAGUGGGAAGAGCAGGGGCCCCAGGCUCCGCCAGACCUGGACUCCAAUCCCAGCUCUGCCACACGUCAGCAAGGUGAUCUUGCACACGCCACUUUGCCUCUCUGAGCCUCAGUUUCUUUCUUGGUAAAAUGGAAGAAAUACCCUCUUUUUUCAUAAGGCUGUUGAGAAGUUCAAGGGAAAAAAAUAGACAUGAGAUGCCUAACUAAGUCAAUUGGCAAACAUUUCCUGUGUACCUACUAUGUGUUAGGCACUGGAUAAAAAAGCAGGCUCUCAAGCCCAACAGUCUGUUUCAAACCUGUCUUGGCUCCUCGUUAAGUCAGUGACCAUAAAACCCCUGCAGAUCAGUUUUUCCAUCUGUAAAAUGGGAACAGCAAGAGCAGCCUUAUAACAGUACAGUAAACUCGUAAGGUUGCUGCGAAAAGUGAACUGAUACAAGCAAAACACUUAAAGCAGCACAUGGUUCAUCGUAAGUACGUACCCAACAAAUAUUAGUACUAUUUAUUGGUUGCCUAUAAUGUGAGAGACACUGUUCCAGGCACCUUACAAGCUUUCUUUUAUUUAAUCAUGAGAACUCAAUGAAAAAGAUAUUAUCCUCAUUUUUCAGAUGAAGAAACUGAGGCACAGGGAGGUUAACCCACUCAAGGUCACAUAACUAAGUACGCGCUGGUUCUGAGAUUCAGUCCCAUGGAGUCUGUGAACUACUAUGUGACACGAUCAGGACAUUCAGAGCAUGGCACGCAGACAUCAUCAUGUGAAGCGUCUAUCACUGCCAUCACACUGAAAGAGUAACCAGGUUUAUGCUGGAGAAAAAUUACAGGAUGGCUGAACCCAAGAGUGGCAACUGCUAAGAUUUCCCGGGACCAAACCUGCCUCUCAGUUUAUGCCGGCUCACUCCAUCCCCCCAGAGUCUCAGAGAAGGGAGGGCCUGCCCAAGCCUCAUGCAGGGAAACGUGGGAAAACUGGAACCGCUCUCACCAUUGUUUGAAAGCGCGUUUUAUUAGGAGUGUAGGAAAAAGCUAGCCUGACUCUGUCCAGGCUGUGCCAGGACAGGCAGGAGGCGACCUCCUCCCUCCAAGAAUGGCUGGUGGUCACUGGGACCCAGCUCCAGCCUUUUCCACUCCCACAAAGUGAUACCCCUGCUCCACCCCCGCUUCUGUGACCCACACUCACUCACCACCCAGGGGUCCACAUGCCCAGCAACAACAGGGCCUGGACAUAGGGAGGUGGCUGCCAGACUCCCAAGUCCCCAAGUGUCUCCCUUGUCAGAUCAGUCCAGCCAAACAUCUCCCGUCUCCACCUCACUCCUAAGACAACGACUUUUCUCACUGAAAAGAUUUUAAAAAGAAAACACCCCACAACACACACACACACACACACACACACACACACAAGGCAGCAGGAUAUGGUUCUAAGACAGCCAAAAUGGUGGCUUCCUGUUUCUUUAGGGAUGUGUGUUUUGGAGUAUGGCUUCGGACAAGGGUGUUGGUUGGGGACAGGGCUGCCUUCUGCUAAAUUCUAAGAGAAAAAGAGAAAAGAGUGACGAUCGCUCCCUGGCAGACAGAUGCAGGCAGCUGGGAUUGCGGCCCUGCGAACGCGCCUCUUUGAGGGAACUUUCUGCCCUUCCCGCGGCUGCAGUCAGCAGUCCGGAGACCUGGGAUCCAGGCACCGACCAUCUCUGAGUCUCAGUCACUGAAUCUGUUAAAUGGCACUCCUCCGGAGGGAUCGCGAACAUUUAGCGUCACACGCACUCUGGAUCUCACGGAAUCCCUGCCUGGCAGUCGGGUUCACAGGGCAGAGACGUGAGGGCGGGAGGGGCCGCCUGCACGCGGCUCAGCCUCGCCAGGAGCGUCCCCUCGGCGCUCGGUCCCAGCGGGAGGCACAAAGAGGGCCCCGGGCCAGGGCGCUGAGAGGGAGGCUGCGCUGCGGGGGGCGGGGGCAACCCAGGGCUUUUCAGUCCCAGCCCGAGAGUGAGCUCCAAGUCUCGGGGUCCAGGAGAGAGAAGGAAGCCGGCAUCCUCUUAAGGGUGUUUGGAUCAGUGAAGGUGAAGCAGGUCGAGGUCCUGUUCACCUCCAAACCACCAAUUCUGAGUGUGAAGCUGGACAUGUGGCAGCUGCUCCAAAAUUGAUGGAGCGGCAUGACUUUCAGGCUGAAAGAGGAGGCUGCUUCUGGAGUGAGGGGUCUCCCAUCAUUAGAGCUGUACAAAACCCAGCAGAUUCAAAGUCUUCUCUGCAGGAUGGUGUCAAGAUGGCGGCGUAGGUGGACUCUGAACUCACCUUCUCCCAUAGAUGCAACCUACUCUUGGAAUGAUUACCCCUAAGAGAGGACUGAAAACUGGAUACAGGGAACCCCAACAAUGAGACAGUGUUGACUGAGGUGGAAAAAGCAGAAGUUCCUUUCUGGAGAGAAAAAAGCCACCUUUGACCAGCCAGGAGCAACCCUAAGGGCACAAGUGACCAGCAAGUCUUCCAUGUGCUCAUCCCGGUUGCGUAUUUAGGCAAGAAGUGACCAGGCCAAGCACAGAGCCCUGCCCUUCAGGCUCUCCACCACUCACUGGGUGUGGCCGAACAAGCCGCUACCUGAGCCACACCUAUCCCCCUUUCCACGAGGACAUCAAGAGCUUUCACCCAGCGUCUUCCCGGAAUCUGGAUGGUCUAGGCCAGCAGCAUGUCUCUCACUACUCCUCCAGUCACCCUGCCGGAAGAUGAACCGGGCCGGUAGGUGGUUUUAAAACCCGUCCACAAAUUCUUCAACAGUCCUCCCAUCAGGAGGUGAGUCUCACUCCCCUCCCUUGAAUGUGGGCUGGCCCUAGGACUCACAUGCAGGGAAGGAAACGCUACACGUCUUACAAGGCCAAGUCGUAAAAGGCAACGCAGCUCCCACCUGGCUGUCGCUCUGGACACUCCCUCUUGGAACCCAACCGCCAUACUGCGAGGAAGCCCAGACCACACGGAGAGGCCAUGUGUAAGUGUUCCGGCUGACGGCCUGCAGUGACCGUCAGGCGUGUGGGUGAGCAAGCCUUUGGGAUGACACCAGGCCCAGCCAACUUCUGGCUGCAACCCAAGAGACCCCAAGCAAGAACCACCCACCCAAGCCCAGUCAGCCCCCGACCAUCAGUGACAAUAAUAACAAAUGAUUGUGUUGUUUUCCACCACUAAGCCUGGGUAGUUAGUUUCACAGGUCCAGAUAACAGAACUGUUGCUAUGGCAACAAGAAUCUCUUGCAGAGGUCCCAUUCCCUUUUUUCCGUGAGCGUUUUCAAACUGUCGACCUAACAGGCCAUCUAGAAUUAGGAAGAGUCCUUCGGGUUUACAGUUCAGGAAUCUGCCCCUUUCCACUUUCCAGAACCUGAACCAUCUAUGUGUGUGUCGUCUCCUGAUUCUUCCCCACCAUUCCUCAAAAAUUGUUGAAAACUGUUGUAAGCAUACUAUUGAGUCUGUUUAGAACCCUUGGAUAUAACAAAUUAGGAGCCCAGAAUUCAUUUUAGUAAUCAUAAUAGCACUAACAACUGUAAUUUGUAACCUCUCAGUAAAUGUUAGUGGUGCCAGCACUUCACAUGUAUCAACUCAUCUAAUCCUCACAACCCAACACACUGAAAACUAUGCUUAUUCUUGCUGAGGCACAGAGAGGGUGAGCAGUUUGCUCGGGUCACACAGCCACUAAAGGUGGCCAGAUUCCUUUUUCCUGCCCCUUCGCCUAUCUCAUGUAUAGGCUGCCCUUUCCCAUUAAAGGUCAUCCUCCUUUUGAGGAUAGCAAAAGCCAAAUAAGAGCUGCGUCUUUUUGUAAGUAGUUUUUGGCAUCCCCCACUCCCCAGCUACCGCACCCCCAAGUGGCAGGCCAACCUUCCGAAUGUUUCUGAAAAGUUGCUGGUCAUCUUCGGCCUCAGCUCACCUUCGGUUUGGGCCUUCCUGAUGGUGUGCUCCCUCACCCACUUAGGUCUUCGUGUAUUUCCUACCUAAACCUGAGCAGCCCCUCUGCCUCAUCUCCCCUCCUCCCUGGGACUGUCGAGGAACUCGUCUUCACGGGGCUCCAAGCCCUCCCUCUCUGGGUCUCUGGCCUUCAGGUCUCAGUGACUUUGCUCUCUGCACCUGUCAGCAUCUGCCCUUCCUAAUGUCCACAGGUUCCUCUGGCUCCUGUCUCCUCUGCUAAGUGUCCAGGAUCCUGGGGUCACAGCGUGACCUCCACGAUUCCUCCAGGGAUGGCUUUCCCCCGAACCUCUUUAGGGUCAGGCACACAUUGUGACAAGGUCCAAACUCAGUACUCUGGGGAGAGACUGGCAUCAAGGCUCCUAGAAAGCUGAGGGGUCUGGUGCUGCCCAGACUCGGUGUGGUGGCGGGGUGCAGUCAGGCGGGCCAUGGCUGCAGGCCGGUAACACUUUUUACACGCUUGCUCAUCACUUUGCGGUUUAUGAAACAUUUCGGUACACACGCUUUCAUAAGAUCCUCACAACGGCCCUUGCAGGUGGGCAUUCUUACCCUCACGGUAAGGGGGAGGAGAGUGAGAUUAGCCCACGGUCACCCAGCAAGUAAGGAGCAGAGCAGAGGCUCCAGCCUCGUCUUGGGACCCCUGACCCAGUAAGCUUUUCACUGUACCUCCUGCUCAGGCAUUCCAGAACCUGCUCUUAUCUCCUGACGCCACCUGCACUGCGGCAACAGCGUAACCCCAGCUCCUGCCGUGACCCAGGCGCUAUGCUUCUCCAGAGAGACAGCUACCUUUGCUCAUCACGCCCAAGCCGGGCCCAGGUGGUGCUCAAUGGAUGGGCAUCACCUGGCUGAAAAGCCAAGAGGCAGGCUGGGGCCAGCACGCGACCCUUGUCUACGUGGCCCUGCUGGGAGACAAAGGCGCAGCAGGACUGGGAUCCACACAGGAUGGGGCGGGUGUGGUGGGAUAAAGGCAGGGGUGUCGCUACAGCCCCACCCAAACCCAUCUGCAUGACUCCCCCACAGAACCCGGCACUGCACAAACGCCCCCGUGGCCCUUUCCCCAAGUCUGUGUCCCGAAGACACCAACAGCACCGCCCCCUCGCCACCGCAGGCUCCCAUUCCAGCCUCCGCGGCACCCGGCCGCUCCUCCCUCCCCUCCCCCCCACACUGUGCCCACCCCUCAUCCACGGU